rnacentral:misc_RNA from 1 species
GCAUGCACGCCUUCCACCUAUUCAGCAAUCGGGGCAAUCACAUGCACAGAUGCGACCAGUGCCUAACCAACCAAUUCAUGGGUCUCAACAACCAGUUGCUGCAGGGCCUAGCCAUCAUUUUGGAAAGCCUCGUGGACCCCCAGGUCCUGGUAGGUAUCCGGGUGGAAAUCCCCCUUCUGGAUACAACCACUCAAGUCGUGGUGGCGGUCAAGGUGGUUAUGGUAACACACAAUAUGCUCAAGGACGAGGUGCU